rnacentral:rRNA from 1 species
ACUGGUGAGAAACGCGUGGGUGACCUGCCUUUAGGAUGGGGAUAGCCGUUAGAAAUAGCGGGUAAUACCGAAUACGUUCGCUUUACUGUGGUGAAGUGAAGAAAGGAGCUACGGCUCCGCCUGGAGAUGGGCCCGCGUCCCAUUAGCUGGUUGGGGGUGUAAAGGACCACCAAGGCGAAGAUGGGUAGCCGGCCUGAGAGGGUGAACGGCCACACUGGGACUGAGAUACGGCCCAGACUCCUACGGGAGGCAGCAGCUAAGAAUAUUCCACAAUGGACGGAAGUCUGAUGGAGCGACGCCGCGUGGAUGAGGAAGGCCGAAAGGUUGUAAAAUUCUUUUGCGGAUGAAGAAUAACCGGGGCAGGGAAUGGCUUCGGGAUGACGUUAGUCUGCGAAUAAGCCCCGGCUAAUUACGUGCCAGCAGCCGCGGUAACACGUAAGGGGCGAGCGUUGUUCGGAAUUAUUGGGCGUAAAGGGCGCGUAGGCGGCCUAGUAAGUCUGAUGUGAAAACCCCGGGCUCAACCCGGGAACUGCAUUGGAAACUGCGAGGCUUGAGUCACGGAGGGGGAAUCGGAAUUCCUGGUGUAGGGGUGAAAUCUGUAGAUAUCAGGAAGAACACCGGUGGCGAAGGCGGAUUUCCAGCCGAUGACUGACGCUGAGGCGCGAAAGUGCGGGGAGCAAACAGGAUUAGAUACCCUGGUAGUCCGCACUAUAAACGAUGCACACUAGGUGUCGGGGCGAGCGUCUCGGUGCCGGAGCGAACGCGAUAAGUGUGCCGCCUGGGGAGUAUGCCCGCAAGGGUGAAACUCAAAGGAAUUGACGGAAUCGAAUUCCCG